AUAAAUUUUUGUGAUUACUCUAGCUUGUUACACUAAAAGUUAUAGAACGCACGUUAAACGACAGUGGAUAAAAUAUUUUGAUUAUUACAAAGUGCAGAUGGACAGGAUAGUUCUGUGAGAAAUUAGGAGACUGAAUAGUCCUAUUCACAGUCCCCGCCGCCAUCUUGGGUACAAACAUGAAAACGAGGCGAGAGUUGACUCAUAAUCAAAAUAAAAGAAGAUGUUUAUCUGACCUCUGAUUAUCUACGCAGAAAACGGCUCCCAAAACAACCGUCAAGUCGAUAAAUCGUGGUUUAUUUGAAACCACACUUCUCGCUAAAUAUAUUAAGAUAAGGAUACUCAGGCUCCAAAACAAGCAAUUCAAAACAAGACAAAAUAAGUGAAAAAAAAAACAUUUUUACCCCUUUUUCUUGUGUGGCCUGGCUAUAGAGUAAAUAAAUAAUGAAUAACACCUUAUUUUUUUUUACAGCUGGUAUCACCUUUGCUACAGACCAAAUGCAAGUGGGCUUUUUUGUGGGUACCAGGGGGUGAAGCUUGCGAGGCACAUCAAAAGGCAACAUUCCAAGGAAUCUGAAGUGGCCUGCCAGCUUGCAGGAACGAGUAAAAAGAACAAAGUAAAAGAACACGAAAGGCUCCGGCUCCUCGGUGAUUAUCACCACAAUUGCAAUGUCCUGAGCUUAGGCGAAGAACAACUGAUUGUGGUAUGCCUACCUCCCUUGUAAGUCGUGCCUUGGGUUUCACAAGAGGGACGACCUUUGGAGGCACAGAAAGAAGUGUGCGUUUAAACAGCAUGGGACAGACAAAGAAGUUGGUAUCACCUUUGCCACAGACCAAAUGCAAGUGGGCUUUUUUGUGGGUACCAGGGGGUGAAGCUUGCGAGGCACAUCAAAAGGCAACAUUCCAAGGAAUCUGAAGUGGCCUGCCAGCUUGCAGGAACGAGUAAAAAGAACAAAGUAAAAGAACACGAAAGGCUCCGGCUCCUUGGUGAUUAUCACCACAAUUGCAAUGUCCUGAGCUUAGGCGAAGGACAACUGAUUGUGGUAUGCCUACCUCCCUUGUAAGUCGUGCCUUGGGUUUCACAAGGGGGACGACCUUUGGAGGCACAGAAAGAAGUGUGCGUUUAAACAGCAUGGGACAGACAAAGAAGUUGGUAUCACCUUUGCCACAGACCAAAUGCAAGUGGGCUUUUUUGUGGGUACCAGGGGGUGAAGCUUGCGAGGCACAUCAAAAGGCAACAUUCCAAGGAAUCUGAAGUGGCCUGCCAGCUUGCAGGAACGAG